UGCACUGGCGGGCCCUCCCCUCGGGCGUUGCCUCCCACCCACGCCCGGCGGCACCGCACCCCGAGGCGCUUCACGUCACGGAGCUGCUAGGAGACGGGCGGGGCUCCGGUUCCGGGUAGAGGCCUGGGACACGGGGAACUACGGAAUCUCACUCUGUCACCCAGGCUGGAGUGCAGUGGCACAAUCUCAGCUCACUGCAACCUCGACCUCCCAGGUACAAGCAAUUCUCCUGCCUCAGCCUCCCAAGUAGCUGGGAUUACAGAUGGAGUUUUGCUCUUGUCGCCCCGGCUGGAGUGCAGUGGUGCGACCUCAGCGAUCUCAGCGAUCUCAGCGAUCUCAGCUCACUACAACCUCUGCCUCUUGGAUUCAAGCAGUUCUCCUGCCUCAACCACCUGAGUAGCUGGGAUUACAGGCGCCUGCCACCACGCCUGGCUAAUUUUUGUAUUUUUAGUAGAGAUGGGGUUUCACCAGGUUGGUCAGUCUGGUCUCGAACUCCUGACCUCAGGUGAUCCACCCACCUCGGCCUCCCAAAGUGCUGGGAUUACAGGCGUGAGCCACCAUGCCCAGCCUACACUUGGGCUUCUUAGGCACAAGAUCCAGUAAGCCCUCCCUCCUCCUCCCCACCCCUUUUUUCUUUACACUAGUGUUUUCUGUAAUCCUGCAACAGAAAGAGUCCUAACUGAUAUAUUUGUGACCAUUUCUAAAAUCUCCAAAAUGUAAAAUUAUACAAUUAAGAAUUAAAAUAAUUUUUUAAAACCA
rnacentral:lncRNA from 1 species